rnacentral:rRNA from 1 species
AGAGUUUGAUCCUGGCUCAGGAUGAACGCUGGCGGCGUGCUUAACACAUGCAAGUCGAACGAAGAAGAGUUGAAUCGAGAGCUUCGGCAGGAUUUCUUCUCAUCUUAGUGGCGGACGGGUGAGUAAACGUGUGGGCAACCUGCCCUAUACUGGGGAAUAAUCACUGGAAACGGUGACUAAUACCGCAUGUCAUCACCGGAGGGCAUCCUCUGGUGAAAAAAGGAGCAAUUCGGUAUAAGAUGGGCCCGCAUCUGAUUAGCUAGUUGGAGAGAUAACACCCCACCAAGUCGACGAUCAGUAGCCGACCUGAGAGGGUGAUCGGCCACAUUGGGACUGAGACACGGCCCAAACUCCUACGGGAGGCAGCAGUGGGGAAUAUUGCACAAUGGGGGAAACCCUGAUGCAGCAACGCCGCGUGAAGGAUGAAGGUUUUCGGAUCGUAAACUUCUAUCAACAGGGAAGAAACAAAUGACGGUACCUGAAUAAGAAGCCCCGGCUAACUACGUGCCAGCAGCCGCGGUAAUACCUAGGGGGCAAGCGUUAUCCGGAAUUACUGGGUGUACAAGGGAGCGUAUGCGGCAUGUCAAUCCAGAUGUGAAAGCCCGAGGCUUAACCUCACGGAUUUCAUUUGGAACUGGCAAGCUAGAGUACAGGAGAGGAAAGCAGAAUUCGUAGAGUAGCGGUAAAAUGAGUAGAUAUUAGGAAGAACACCAGUGAAGAAGGCGGCUUUGUGUACUGAAACUGACGAUGAGGCUAGAAAGCGUGAGCAGCAAACAGGAUUAGCUACCCUGGUACUCCACGCCGUAAACGAUGAUUGCUACGUUGUUGGGGAGGAAAUCUCGGUGCCGCAACUAACCCAAUAAGCACUCCCCCUGGGGAGAACGUCCCAAGAAUGAAACUCAAAGGAAUUGACGGGGACCCGCACAACCGCUGGAGCAUGUGGAUUAAUUGGACGCAACGCGAAGACCCUUACCUCCUCUUGACAUCCCUCUGACGGGACAGUAAUGUGUCCUUUCCUUCGUCACAGAGGAGACAGGUGGUGCAUGGUCGUCGUCAUCUUGUGUCGUGAGAUGUUGGGUUAAGUCCCGCACCGAGCGCAACCCUUAUCCUUAGCAGCCAGCGGUCUGCCCGGGCACUCUAGGGAGACUGCCGGGGUCAACCCGGAGGAAGGUGGGGAUGACGUCAAAUCAUCAUGCCCCUUAUGAGCAGGGCUUCACACGUGAUACAAUGACGACUACAAAGAGACGGGAUACCGCGAGGUCGAGCACAUCCCCAAAAAGUGGUCUCAGUUCGGAUUGUAGUCUGCAACUCGCCUACAUGAAGCUGGAAUCGCUAGUAAUCGCGAAUCAGCAUGUCGCGGUGAAUACGUUCCCGGGUCUUGCACACACCGCCCGUCA